AAACUUUUCUGUUUCUGAAUGUAAAUCUGGUUGCUCUGAAGUAAGGAGCUUAUGAUCUUAGUUAAGUGGUUCCUCCCCUGGUCUGCUGCCUCAGGAAAAGGGAGAAAGCCUGCCUGCCUCCAACAACAUUAAGGGAUGCCUGGUUUGUGCUGCAGUCCCCGAGGAGCUGGCCUCGCUCUCAGAAGCAGCUAUCUUGGAUUCUCCAGCAUUCCCUUCGCUGUGGAAGGAACUCAAAUGGCCCUGAAACCAGAGGUUGGCAACUGGCAGCAGGAUACAGGACAUCUUACCUCCCAGUCUCCCAGGUUGGCUGGCUCUUCCGUGGCUUAUGUGAAAUGGAUUUAGUCCAACUCCUUUCGAAAAGAGGUCGAUAUCACCACAGCUCCCAUUGCUGGGCCUAUCCUGUGCAGCACUGAGGGUAGGUCUACGCUGCAAUUAGAUACCUAUGGCUGGUCCAUGGCAGCUAACUCAGGCUCAUGGCCAGGGCUGUUUCACUGAGGUGUAGACAACUGGGCUUGGGCUGGAGCCCAGGCUCUAGGACCCUGCGAGGUUGGAGGAUCCCCGAGCCUGAAUGUCUACACCGCAAUAAAACAGUCCCUUAGCCCAAGUCCCGCAAGCCCAAGUCAGCUGGCAUGGGCCAGCCGUGUGUUUCUAAUUGCAGUGCAGACAUACCCUGAGUUCCCUCAACUCCAGCUGGAGUCAAUGAGAGUGGAGGACACGUGACACCCCACAGCCCAGCGCCUACCAUCGGUGCUAGCAGACCCCACUGGUGGCAGACUCAGCAGAUAAAAUGGUGUCGAUGGAGCAGGAAACCGAAGUCUCCUCUCUGGAGAGGGCUUCUCCAGGGCAGGGCUAAAACAUACCAGCAGGGAGAGCAUGGGAGUAACUUGCCCUGCUUCCCCCCAUGUUGCAACUUGUCCUUCGGCUAGAGGAAUAUGGUGUCCGGGGCUGUCUACACCGCCCCUCUCAGGUGAAUGCAACUCACAAAGCUCUGCUCUGUCUCAGACUCAUAGCAACCCAGAGGGAAAACCAACCCAGUUAUUAUUUUCUAAGCAAAAGGCCAGUACAGCUUUCUGCACCAUUAAUAGGAAAUGCCAUUAAAAUCCCAGCAAACCUAAAUGACUGCCCAGUGGAUUUAACAGAGGGAUUACUGAAAGCCGCACUUUUUAUACAUGAGGAAAGCCUUUCAAAAGUCAAAGCAAAAUUAAACUUCCAUUUGUUUCCCAUCAUUUCUUUUCCAAGGGCGGCUAAGGGGGAAAUGGAGAGUUAGUGUGCAUCUGGUGAGUAUGUGGGAUGCAGGAGGAAAAAUGAUUCUUAUAAACACAGUUUGAACCAGGAGAAUGGAGUUCGGCACAAAGCUCCAUCUAAUAAGCUGAGCAAACAUUACCUUAAAGGCCACAGCAGGAGCACAGUUAUGCAACGUUGAUUUACUAUCGCUGUUACGAUGUCACUGCAGUUUGGACACAGGAAAGCUGGAGGACAGAGGACAGAGCUUGGGUGGACAGCUGCUUUUGGGUCCUUAGCGAGCUCUCUUGAGAGCUGAGAACUUCCUGAAUCCCAGGAUUCUGUGCUGCCCUGCGGCCUCUCUGGUACAAUGGUUUGGGUCCUACUGUGCACUGAGCAUGCAUUCAUGAGUAGUCUAUAAACUGACUGACCGUUUAUUAAAACAUCAGUUAAUCAACUGAAAGAGCUCCACAGGUUCUGUAGUGAUGGACACCUGUGCAAAAUGGCUUGUAAAGUGUCACCAUUCUGAUCCAGUCACACAGCAGUGCUUUGUGUCCCUUGAGGGACCAAGUGGUUUCGAUGAUAUAAUGUGAAUGCACCACGGGUCCUUGUGUGUAUAGUGAGGAACCUUUGAGGCUCUUUGCCCUCAAUGGAACAACCCCAAAGACCCCAAGAAUUACUGUUGCUGGUGCCUGCUCUUCCUGUAAUCAAUGCUACAUUACUCUUCCAUAGCGCUGCUCAGUUGAGGAUCUCAAAGCACGUCACAAACAUUAAUGAUCCUUGCAACAGCCUUGUGAGUUAGGUCAUUAUAAUUAGCCCUGUAUCACAGAUGGGUGCACUGAGGCAAAGGGGUUCGCCUAGCAAAGGAGUUGAACAGAGAAUAGAACCCAGGAGUCCUGACCUGAAGUUCCUACUGCUCUAACCAUUUAUGCCACAUUCACUUCGCAGAGAACAGAACCCACUCCUGACUCCCAGAUCUUCACUGCUGUAAAACACUCUCCCUCCAUGGCCAGGAACAGAGCCCAAAAUGCCCAGACCCCCACCUCUACUCCCUGAGCACUCUGACUAUCAUUGCUAAUGCCACAGCACUGCCUAGCAUACAAGAGCAGACUAUGGAGAAAAGAUAACAAAUUAGAUAAUAACAGAUUCCUCCUCCAAUUCACCAGCUUGAGAAUAUUUCUUUUAUUUAAUCUGGGGAGCUGAAAUCAGAGCUUUCCACACAGUCACAGAUGCCCUGAAAUCAAACAUGCCAGCCGAUUUUAUUUAUUCAUAGAAGCCUUUCUCAGUUCUGCAACAAGCAUUAGAAAUGUAACUACUGACUGCCCCUGCAAAUCCAUGUCCUUUUUAUAAUGAUCUUUCCCUCAACAUUACUGUAAGAUCAACAAUUGCCAAGACCUACCUCCAUCUCACGAAGGAUACAGGAACCCAAAGGUUAGUCCACAUGGGUUUUUCUGCGGCUUCGCCUUAGACAAACUGAACUGGAAUGUGAUGUGCCAGUGCAAACCUGAUACAUCGUGCCGCCAGCUCUCCCUGCCAUGCUGAGAAAUGCUGGCUAGGGGAACAUGCCCAUCCAAUUACCUGCGAAGUUUAGAAGAGAGGGAGGGAACUAAGGGUAUGUCUAAACUAUAGCCGCUACAGCAGCACAGCUCCUACACUGCCGUGCUAUAGUGUAGGUGCUUCCCGUGUUGAUGGAAGGCGUUUUUCCGUGGCUGCAGCUAAUCCAUCUCUUCGAGAGGCAGUAGCUAGGUCAACAGAAUUCUUCUGUCAACCUCGCCGUGUCUACGGAGGAGGUUAGGUCAACCUAACUUCAUCGCCCAGGAUGCAAAAUUUUUCACAGCCCUGAGCAAUUUAGCUAGGUCAGACUAAUUAGACUGACUCCAGUUAGAA